rnacentral:rRNA from 1 species
GGGAAAACCGCACCGAGUAGCACCAAAAUGCUCCAUUUCCCCAUCCCCCCUUCGUCCCGUUCCCCCACCCUUCUCUCGACCGUGGCCUCUCUCCGUCUCCGUCCCCCCGCUCGUCUCCUCCGCUCCAACCAAAACCAAAGCCACCCCCAGAUUUGCACCCCGGCCCCCAGGGACACCCCGAAUUCCCCGUUCCAUCCCACCACCGCGCUCGCGCGCACCGCCCGGCCGGCCUCCCGAAUUCCCACUCUCGCCCCAAAUCUCCCGGGGGCAGCGCCUCGGGCCGCGCGCGCGCGCGCUCUCUCCGCCCCCCUCCCUCCAACCUCCCUCCCCUCCCCACGCGCUCCCCGCGAUCGCAUCGCGGCAGGCCGGACAAGCGGGACCCGACAAAUCGCGCCGGGCGGGGGAAUCUAGGGUUCCGCCGGCCGCCCGGCUCACGGCUCUGGCGGUGGCGGCCGGGCCCGCGCCUCCCAGGGCGGCGCGUCGGGGGAUCUCGGGCCCCGCCGGCCAACCCUAGCGGGACCGGGCGGCCAUGGACGUGGACUCGCGCAUGACGACGGAGUCCGACUCCGACUCCGACGCGACCACCGCCGCUGCGCUGGGCCGAGGCUCGGGGAGCGAGACCUCCUCCUCGUCCGCCCCGUCGACGCCCGGGACGCCCGCGGCGGCCCCGGCCUCGCCGGCCGUCGGGGGAUCGGGGCCGAGGCCGGCGCCAGGGUACACCGCGGUGAACGCGGUGAUCGACAAGAAGGAGGACGGCCCGGGGUGCCGCUGCGGCCACACGCUCACGGCGGUGCCGGCCGUCGGGGAGGAGGGCUCGCCUGGCUACGUCGGGCCGCGGCUCAUCCUCUUCGGCGGGGCAACCGCGCUAGAGGGCAACUCUGCAACGCCUCCCUCCUCAGUUGGCAGCGCCGGGAUCCGUCUUGCCGGUGCCACAGCAGAUGUCCACUGUUACGAUGUGUUAUCAAAUAAGUGGAGCAGGCUUACUCCACUUGGUGAGCCUCCUUCACCAAGAGCUGCACAUGUAGCAACCGCGGUUGGAACCAUGGUUGUCAUUCAGGGUGGAAUUGGCCCAGCUGGUUUAUCUGCGGAGGACCUUCAUGUUCUAGAUCUUACACAACAGAGACCGCGAUGGCACAGAGUGGUGGUUCAAGGACCUGGUCCAGGUCCACGAUAUGGACAUGUGAUGGCCUUGGUUGGACAGAGGUUCUUGUUGACAAUAGGUGGAAAUGAUGGGAAGCGGCCUCUGGCGGAUGUAUGGGCUCUUGAUACGGCUGCUAAGCCAUAUGAAUGGAGGAAACUUGAACCAGAAGGUGAAGGACCACCACCAUGCAUGUAUGCCACUGCCAGUGCACGAUCUGAUGGUCUACUUUUACUCUGCGGUGGGAGGGAUGGUAAUAGUGUGCCACUAUCAAGUGCAUAUGGUCUCGCGAAACAUAGAGAUGGGCGCUGGGAGUGGGCAAUAGCCCCUGGUGUCUCUCCAUCACCAAGAUACCAACAUGCAGCUGUUUUCGUGAAUGCACGUCUUCAUGUGUCAGGAGGUGCUCUUGGAGGUGGUCGGAUGGUAGAGGACUCCUCAAGUGUUGCAGUGCUAGACACGGCUGCUGGAGUUUGGUGCGACACGAAGUCAGUUGUCACAACUCCCAGGACAGGAAGAUAUAGUGCGGAUGCAGCAGGAGGUGAUGCUGCUGUUGAACUUACACGACGGUGUAGGCAUGCAGCAGCUGCUGUUGGCGACUUAAUAUUCCUUUAUGGAGGUUUACGGGGAGGUGUAUUGCUAGAUGAUCUUCUUGUGGCCGAAGAUCUUGCUGCCGCAGAAACGACAACUGCUGCUAAUCACGCAGCGGCAAGUGCAGCAGCUACUGACACACAAGCUGGAAAGGCACCUGGAAGAUAUGCUUACAAUGAUGAACGUACAAAACAGGCAGCUUCAGAAUCAGCUCCAGAUGGAUCUGUAGUUCUUGGAACACCAGUUGCUCCUCCUCUUAAUGGGGACAUGUAUACUGAUAUUAGCCCUGAGAACGCCGUGCCGCAGGGACAGAGGAGAUCAAGUAAAGGUGUUGAUUACUUGGUCGAAGCAUCAGCAGCAGAGGCAGAGGCAAUUAGUGCUACUUUAGCUGCUGUAAAGGCUAGGCAGGUUAAUGGUGAGGCAGAAGAGUUGUCUGACAAGGAGCAGUCUCCAGAUUCUUCAUCAAGCAACAAACAUUCAAGUCUCAUUAAACCAGACACUGCACUUUCAAAUAACAUGACACCUCCACCUGGUGUUCGGUUGCACCAUAGAGCUGUGGUAGUGGCUGCGGAAACUGGAGGUGCCUUAGGUGGCAUGGUCAGACAGCUUUCGAUUGACCAGUUUGAAAAUGAAGGAAGAAGGGUCAGCUAUGGCACACCUGAGAAUGCAACUGCUGCAAGGAAGUUGCUUGACCGCCAGAUGUCCAUUAAUAGUAUUCCCAAAAAGGUGAUUGCAUCUCUGUUGAAACCUCGCGGCUGGAAGCCUCCCGUGCGAAGGCAGUUCUUCUUGGACUGCAAUGAGAUUGCAGAUCUGUGUGACAGUGCUGAGAGAAUAUUUUCAAGUGAACCAAGUGUUUUGCAACUUAAAGCUCCCAUUAAAAUAUUUGGUGAUUUACAUGGUCAAUUUGGUGACCUUAUGCGAUUGUUUGAUGAGUAUGGUUCUCCUUCAACGGCUGGAGACAUCGCGUACAUUGAUUAUCUUUUCUUGGGUGAUUACGUGGAUCGUGGGCAGCACAGUUUAGAAACUAUGUCCCUCCUUCUUGCUUUGAAGGUUGAAUAUCCGCAAAACGUACAUUUAAUUCGUGGAAAUCAUGAGGCCGCUGAUAUUAAUGCUUUAUUUGGCUUCCGAAUAGAGUGUAUAGAGCGAAUGGGCGAAAGAGAUGGCAUCUGGACAUGGCAUCGUAUGAAUAGGCUAUUUAACUGGCUUCCUUUGGCUGCACUCAUAGAAAAGAAAAUUAUCUGUAUGCAUGGUGGUAUCGGUCGCUCAAUCAACCAUGUAGAACAGAUCGAGAAUCUUCAAAGACCAAUUACCAUGGAAGCAGGCUCGGUUGUCCUCAUGGAUCUUCUAUGGUCUGAUCCAACAGAAAAUGACAGCGUUGAAGGAUUAAGACCAAAUGCUCGGGGGCCUGGUCUUGUUACAUUUGGGCCUGAUCGUGUUAUGGAGUUCUGUAACAACAACGACCUUCAAUUAAUUGUACGAGCACAUGAGUGCGUGAUGGAUGGCUUUGAGCGCUUUGCUCAAGGCCACCUGAUCACUCUUUUCUCAGCAACAAAUUAUUGCGGUACUGCAAACAAUGCUGGUGCAAUCUUAGUUUUGGGUAGAGAUCUUGUAGUUGUUCCAAAACUAAUUCAUCCUUUGCCUCCUGCAAUCACAUCACCUGAGACCUCACCAGAUCAGAUCGAAGAUACAUGGAUGCAGGAGCUGAAUGCAAAUAGGCCAGCAACUCCAACCAGGGGCCGUCCCCAAGCAGCAGCAGCGGCAACGGCAAAUGAUCGAGGUGCUCUUGCCUGGAUAUAGUAGCUUCAUCAGACAUUGGUUAAUAUGAUCCAUCUGAAGUCUCACUCAGCGGAAUCUUGCCCCUUCUCUGCACAAGAAAAUGAUUUAUGUUCAAGAGACUGGUUUUAGCCCACAGCCAUGCCAAAAUAGAAUCAUCUACAAGAAAGUGGAAGUUACUACAAAGAUGAGGAAUAUAACUUCAUCUAGGUCAGCGCUAAUUAUGAGCUCUCCAAGCUGUUUCCCUAGCAUGAGAAGUAUGGCAUAUCAACUCGAGCUUCUCUGAAGAUCCGCUGAGGCUUCACUUGUAUAUACCCAGCUUGCCGGUGGAUAUAAUGGGGUUGUAUGUGUUUUUUUUGCUUCCAAUUGGAAUGGCAAAAGGAAAUAGUGUUAUUGUACUAGGUAUUCUUUCUGUUCCCUUUUGGGGGAGGGGGUCUAGGGUUCUGAUUUUGCAAAGGUGUUGUUGAGUUGCCACAGGGACCGGAUCCUGGUCUAGUCGUGUAUAAUAGCUCUGCCUGCUACUUUUGUCCGGCAUGCCCACUGUAAUUUCAGCCUGCCGCUGAUGUGUACAAUUUUUGUCUUCAAAGUUUUGGCCGUUGAGUGGAGGUCGUGAUUUGAUUUAUUGGAGGCAAAAAGGGUGUUACUUCGUUGUUUUUGAUGUGUACGAAAUACCUUUUAC